CACAAACGUAACUCGAUUUCACGAAACAGUCAAGAGUAAUCACACCCACUUCAUUAAAAAUCCCGAUUCCAGUACAACACUUCGACUAUUCAGCAACGAUUGCCUCAGUCUUCCCAAAAUCCUAUGAAGUGAAAAAAAACCCCAAUCCUUUGUCUUUUUUUCCCUUCCCGAAGCAUGAAGCUACCUCUCCGAUCCCUCUCCAAAAUACUCAAUCUC
rnacentral:lncRNA from 1 species